rnacentral:rRNA from 1 species
AGCAGCCGCGGUAAUUCCAGCUCCAAUAGCGUAUAUUAAAGUUGUUGCAGUUAAAAAGCUCGUAGUUGAAUUUCGGAGUUUGUCGGUUGGUCGGGCUUCACUGUCCGCACUGGCCUGAUAGAUUCCUACCUUCUGAAUAACCAGCAUGCUAUUAAGUUAGUGCGUUGGGGAAGCAGAGCUAUUACCUUGAAAAAAUUAGAGUGCUUAAAGCAGGCUUAUGCUUGAAUAGAUUAGCAUGGAAUAAUAAAAUAGGACGGCAUGGUUCUAUUUUGCUGGUUUCUAGGAUCACCGUAAUGAUUAAUAGGGAUAGUUGGGGGCAUUAGUAUUCAAUUGUCAGAGGUGAAAUUCUUGGAUUUAUUGAAGACUAACUUCUGCGAAAGCAUUUGCCAAGGAUGUUUUCAUUAAUCAAGAACGAAAGUUAGGGGAUCGAAGACGGUCAGAUACCGUCGUAGUCUUAACCGUAAACUAUGCCGACUAGGGAUCGGACGAUGUUAAUUUUUUAAUGACUCGUUCGGCGCCU